GACGAACGCUGGCGGCGUGCUUAACACAUGCAAGUCGAACGAUGAACUUGGAGCUUGCUCUGGGGGAUUAGUGGCGAACGGGUGAGUAACACGUGAGUAACCUGCCCUGGACUCUGGGAUAACUUCGAGAAAUCGGAGCUAAUACCGGAUAGGACCCUGCACCGCAUGGUGUGGGGUGGAAAGUUUUUCGGUUUGGGAUGGGCUCGCGGCCUAUCAGCUUGUUGGUGAGGUAAUGGCUCACCAAGGCGUCGACGGGUAGCCGGCCUGAGAGGGUGACCGGCCACACUGGGACUGAGACACGGCCCAGACUCCUACGGGAGGCAGCAGUGGGGAAUAUUGCACAAUGGGCGCAAGCCUGAUGCAGCAACGCCGCGUGCGGGAUGACGGCCUUCGGGUUGUAAACCGCUUUUAGUAAGGAAGAAGGGGAGCUUGCUCCUUGACGGUACUUGCAGAAAAAGGACCGGCUAACUACGUGCCAGCCGCCGCAGUAAUAC
rnacentral:rRNA from 1 species